AUUUUUUAAAAUAUUAUUAUUUAAUAUAUUUCACAUGUGACAAGGCCAGCGAGAGGGCCAGAGAUAAUAACAGACACCUGUGAUAUCUGAAAUACCCCAAAGGGCCACUAGAUGUCUGGUGAUAAAUGACAUAAAAUCCUUGAAAGAUACCAAAAUUCUGGUAGGUUACUGGCAAAAUGUGAAUGUUUCCGGUAAUAUACCCUCCAUUUGCAACCUUAACUGUACUUGCUUGGCAAGACCUUCUUGGGAUGCUUGUGGUGUAGUGUGUGGUGAGAGGUGGUAUGAUGGUAGUACUAUGAUGUCAGUAGUAGAGAUGUGUAGUGAGACAUGGUAUGAUGGUAGUACUAUGAUGUCAGUAGUAGAGAUGUGUAGUGAGAGAUGGUAUGAUGGUAGUACUAUGAUGUCAGUAGUAGAGAUGUGUAGUGAGACAUGGUAUGAUGGUAGUACUAUGAUAGGUAGUAGAGAUGUGUAGUGAGACAUGGUAUGAUGGUAGUACUAUGAUAGGUCAGUAGUAGAGAUGUGUAGUGAGAGAUGGUAUGAUGGUAGUACUAUGAUGUCAGUAGUAGAGAUGUGUAGUGAGACAUGGUAUGAUGGUAGUACUAUGAUAGGUCAGUAGUAGAGAUGUGUAGUGAGACAUGGUAUGAUGGUAGUACUAUGAUAGGUAGUAGAGAUGUGUAGUGAGACGUGGUAUGAUGGUAGUACUAUGAUAGGUCAGGUGGAUUUAUGCUGUUUAUAAAGCCUCUGCUGAAAUAAGGAACUUGACUGUUUCAGAAGGAAGAUAGGAUGUUAUGUUCUGGUGCUCUGGCCUGGCCUCAGCCCAGUUUAAACUGUCUGGUGUGUUGAUAGACAUGUUUGACAAAAAGCAUAGUUACAUAGAUAUAUGUGUGUGUGUAUACUUAUCUUGUUUAAACUUGAGAUGAGGUUGUCCCCACCAGCCUUUUGUAAUUAUGUUGUUUUGUUUCUGUGUGUGUGUGUGUGUGUGUGUGUGUGUGUGUGUG
rnacentral:lncRNA from 1 species